rnacentral:rRNA from 1 species
UGCNGUCGANCGGACCUUGUAGAAUUGAUCCUUCGGGUGAUUUUCUACGCUGGUUAGUGGCGAACGGGUGAGUAAUGCAUAGGUUACCUACCCCUAAGUCUGGGAUAACCACUCGAAAGGGUGGCUAAUACCGGAUAUUCAAGUUUACUUGGAAAGCUCCGGCGCUUAGGGAAGGGCUUAUGUCUGAUUAGCUAGUUGGUAGUGUAACGGACUACCAAGGCGAAGAUCAGUAGCUGGUCUGAGAGGACGAACAGCCACACUGGGACUGAGACACGGCCCAGACUCCUACGGGAGGCAGCAGUGGGGAAUAUUGCGCAAUGGGCGAAAGCCUGACGCAGCGACGCCGCGUGAACGACGACGUCUUUCGGGAUGUAAAGUUCCGUCAAGAGAGAUGAUUAUGACGGUAUCUCUAAAGGAAGCCCCGGCUAACUACGUGCCAGCAGCCGCGGUAAUACGUAGGGGGCAAGCGUUAACCGGAUUUAUUGGGCAUAAAGGGCGCGCAGGCGGCUUUAUAAGUCAGAAGUUAAAUUCCUUGGCCUAACCAAGGCUCGCUUCUGAAACUGUAAGGCUAGAGAUCAGGAGAGGAAAGCGGAACUCACAGUGUAGCGGUGAAAUGCGUAGAUAUUGUGAGGAACACCAGUUGCGAAGGCGGCUUUCUGGACUGAAUCUGACGCUGAGGCGCGAAAGCGUGGNGAGCGAACGGGAUUAGAUACCCCGGUAGUCCACGCUGUAAACGGUGUACACUAGGUGUAGAGGGUAUCGACCCCUUCUGUGCCACAGAUAAUUCGUUAAGUGUACCGCCUGGGAAGUACGGNCGCAAGGCUAAAACUCAAAGAAAUUGACGGGGNNCCGCACAAGCAGUNNAUCAUG